UUUAGAAUCUUUUCAGAAUUGGAUAUUCUGAAAACUAACAAUUAUAAUCUCUAGUGUGAUUAGUGACCAAACAAGUUGAGAAUUUCAAGUUUCAAGGAUAUUUAGAGGCCUACAUGCAACAGUUAAAAGCUUAACCUUAAGAAGCAUUCUACCGAGGACAAAUGAAUUUCAUUAGAUGAGUAGAAAAAACAACCACGACAAUUUAAAUAAAUAAAAAGAAGAGGCAAAGAAAGGCUAGUCCAGAAGCAAAGAAUGUUUAAACCAACUGUAAAGGAAUAAAUAAAAGGAGGAUGACUGGAGG